rnacentral:tRNA from 1 species
GUUGUGGCUCCGUGGUAGAGUACUCGCCUAGCAUGCAUGAGGCACUGGGUUCAAUCCUCAGCAAAACA